ACUUUUGCUCUCAAAAUAAUCUCUACUCAUUUCAACUUUUUUUGAAGGCUAAACAAACUAUUUAUCCCUUCACUUCUAUUUUUUUCCCUUACAUCUCAUUUUACUUUCAAAUUAUUGGCAUUUAAUAAAAAUGUAAAACAUGUCACAUUUUUAUUGAUAUUUUUUUUCUAUUUUAAGUAUAUUAGAAUGAAAAUGAUACUUUAAUAUCAAAGUAUGAUAAAAAAAAU
rnacentral:lncRNA from 1 species